AUUGAACGCUGGCGGCAGGCCUAACACAUGCAAGUCGAACGAGUGGCGGACGUGAUAUUAAUGUCUGGGACCCUGCCCGGUGGAGGGGUAUACGUACUCGAAGCUAUAGCUGCUACCGCAUACACUCGGCUGUGCCCGGAUGGGAUUAGCUAGUGGGUGGGGAAACGGCUAACCUAGGCGACGAUCCCUAGCUGGUGUGCGAGGAUGACCAGCCACACUGGAACUGAGACACGGUCCAGACUCCUACGGGAGGCAGCAGUGGGGAAUAUUGCACAAUGGGGGCAAGCCUGAUGCAGCCAUGCCGCGUGUAUGAAGAAGGCCUUCGGGUUGUAAAGUACUUUUAGCGAGGAGGCGUUACCCGCAGAAGAAGCACCGGCUAACUCCGUGCCAGCCGCCGCGGUAAUUC
rnacentral:rRNA from 1 species